GAUGAACGCUGGCGGCGUGCUUAACACAUGCAAGUCGAACGGAAAGGCCCAAGCUUGCUUGGGUACUCGAGUGGCGAACGGGUGAGUAACACGUGGGUGAUCUGCCCUGCACUUCGGGAUAAGCCUGGGAAACUGGGUCUAAUACCGGAUAGGACCACAUUUUGGAUGGUGUGGUGGAAAGUUUUUCGGUGUGGGAUGAGCUCGCGGCCUAUCAGCUUGUUGGUGGGGUAAUGGCCUACCAAGGCGUCGACGGGUAGCCGGCCUGAGAGGGUGUACGGCCACAGUGGGACUGAGAUACGGCCCAGACUCCGACGGGGGGCAGCAGUGGGGAAUAUUGCACAAUGGGCGCAAGCCUGAUGCAGCGACGCCGCGUGGGGGAUGACGGCCUUCGGGUUGUAAACUCCUUUCGCUAGGGACGAAGCGUUUUUGUGACGGUACCUGGAGAAGAAGCACCGGCUAACUACGUG
rnacentral:rRNA from 1 species